CCUACGGGAGGCAGCAGUGGGGAAUCUUGCGCAAUGGGCGAAAGCCUGACGCAGCAACGCCGCGUGCGGGAUGACGGCCUUCGUGGUUGUAAACCGCUUUCAGCAGGGACGAAAAAUGACGGUACCUGCAGAAGAAGCCCCGGCUAACUACGUGCC
rnacentral:rRNA from 1 species